rnacentral:rRNA from 1 species
UACGGAGGGUGCGAGCGUUGUCCGGAAUCACUGGGCGUAAAGGGCGCGUAGGCGGCCUGAUAAGUAGGGGGUGAAAUCCUGCGGCUUAACCGCAGGGCUGCCUUCUAAACUGUCAGGCUAGAGCACAGUAGAGGCAGGUGGAAUUCCCGGUGUAGCGGUGGAAUGCGUAGAGAUCGGGAAGAACAUCGGUGGCGAAGGCGGUCUGCUGGGCCGUUGCUGACGCUGAGGCGCGACAGCGUGGGGAGCAAACAGG